AUUGUGUGUGUGUGUGUGUGUGUGUGUGUGUGUGUGUGUGUGUGUGUGCGCAUGAAUGCACGAAAGUCUAGCUUUUAAUGUUCUUUCGCAUCAAUGAUUUUCUCAACUUGGUAUGUCACGUAAGUAUGUAUGUAUAAAUCGCGUAAAACAAUGUUUAUAUGUCAUGAGUACCCAUGGACGACAGAUUUGGUUGAGGAAUAUCUUCUUGUAUUGUUCUUAUCUAUUUCUUAUUUUUUGUACUUUAUUUCUUUCUCGUUUUUUUGUUUCUUCUCUAUAGCUUUUUCAUACCUCGUAUGUAAUAUACGACCCACAUGUAACGUUCGACCCACUAACUCGACCAAUAAAAAUAGAAGAAGAAAAUUGGUCGUGAGACCAAAUCUCAGGAUAAUCUUCUUCUAUUUUCCUGUUGAAAAGAGUCACUCGCCGAUAGUAGAGAGAAAGAGAGAGGGAUUGAAAGUAUGAAUGAAAGAAGAGAGAGAGAGAGAGAGAAAGAGAGAGAAAGAAAGGGAACGUGCUUUUCACAAGUAAUGCAUUCGGGUUUUACAAAUCGCCAAUUAAACUAUAUAUAUAUAUAUAUAUAUAGUUAUAUAUAUA